rnacentral:rRNA from 1 species
UACGGAGGGUGCGAGCGUUAAUCGGAAUUACUGGGCGUAAAGCGCACGCAGGCGGUUUGUUAAGCUAGAUGUGAAAGCCCCGGGCUCAACCUGGGAUGGUCAUUUAGAACUGGCAGACUAGAGUCUUGGAGAGGGGAGUGGAAUUCCAGGUGUAGCGGUGAAAUGCGUAGAUAUCUGGAGGAACAUCAGUGGCGAAGGCGACUCCCUGGCCAAAGACUGACGCUCANGUGCGAAAGUGUGGGUAGCAAACAGG